rnacentral:rRNA from 1 species
UACGGAGGAUCCGAGCGUUAUCCGGAUUUAUUGGGUUUAAAGGGUGCGCAGGCGGGAGAUUAAGUCGGCGGUGAAAUUUUGCAGCUCAACUGUAAAAGUGCCUUCGAAACUGGUUUCCUUGAGUGUAGAUGAAGUAGGCGGAAUUUGUGGUGUAGCGGUGAAAUGCAUAGAUAUCACGAGGAACUCCGAUUGCGCAGGCAGCUUACUAAACCACUACUGACGCUCAUGCACGAAGGCGUGGGGAUCAAACAGGAUUAGAUACCCGGGUA